UACGUAGGGUGCGAGCGUUGUCCGGAUUUAUUGGGCGUAAAGAGCGUGUAGGCGGCUGGAUAGGUCCGUUGUGAAAACUCGAGGCUCAACCUCGAGACGCCGAUGGAAACCAUCCAGCUAGAGUCCGGAAGAGGAGAGUGGAAUUCCCGGUGUAGCGGUGAAAAUGCGCAGAUAUCGGGGAAGAACACCCGUGGCUAAGGCGGCUCUCUAGUACGGUACUGACGCUGAGACGCGAAAGCGUGGGGAGCAAACAGG
rnacentral:rRNA from 1 species